UUGCACUCCAGCCUGGGCAACAAGAGCAAAACUCCAUCUCAAAAACAAACAAACAAACAAACAAAAACACAUUUGGGUCAGGCGCAGUGGCUCAUGCCUGUAAUCCCAGCACUUUGGGAGGCCAAGGCGGCCCAAUUGCUUGAGCCCAGGAAUUCAAGACCAGCCUGGGCAACAUGGUGAAACCCCGUCUCUACAAAAAAUACAAAAAUUAGCAUGAUGGUGUGCACCUGUAAUUCCAGCCACUCAGGAAGGUGAAGCAGGAGGAUCACCUGAACCCAGAGAGGUCAAGGCUGCAGUGAGUCGUGAUCAUGCCACUGCACUCCAGCCUGGGUGACAGAAGGGGACCCUGCCUCAAAAAGAGAUUUGUCUUCUGAUGAGAAAGUGGGAAUGUUGAGAAGAGGGCAAAAAAUUGAUGUAAUAGAGGGAAGAAUGGCCAAUGUCCUUAGAGGCCAGGUGCAGUGCAUGUAAUCCCAGCACUUUGGGAGACUGAGAUGGGAAGAUCGCUUGAGGCCAGGAGUGCAAGACCAGCCUGGGCAACAUAGCAAGAACUUGACUCUACUAAAAAAAAAAAGGAUCCUUCAACUUCAACAAUAACAACACGAGGGAAGUGAAGAAAAACACUUUCUAAGGAAAUCUCUCUCUGAGCUACCAUCCGGCUAGGGAGAGCCUGAAAGCAGAAUGCUGACUUGACUAGCUCUGGCCAAUAAAGGAAAUCACCAGUGGAAAGGCUACCAGGGGGCUUCCUCAAAAGAGAGGGACGGU
rnacentral:antisense_RNA from 1 species